UAGGGAAUCUUCCACAAUGGACGAAAGUCUGAUGGAGCAACGCCGCGUGAACGAUGAAGGCCUUCGGGUCGUAAAGUUCUGUUGUAAGGGAAGAACAAGUGCCGCAGGCAAUGGCGGCACCUUGACGGUACCUUGCGAGAAAGCCACGGCUAACUACGUGCCAGCAGCCGCGGUAAU
rnacentral:rRNA from 1 species